rnacentral:lncRNA from 1 species
GUUCAUCUUGCAUUUCCUGAGGACAAUUGUGGUCCUGGCCACUCUCUGUGGCCAGCAACUCAUCCCAAGUGACCUUUUUACCUUGUUCUGUUUUAUAGACCCCAUAAGACACCUGGGAGAGCAGAGAUUUUGGUCCUGGGACACAGGAGAGAUGAUACCUGCAGUGCACAGCAGCUGAAAUUAACCUGUAAGACUCGGAGCAGGAGCUUGUUUUUCGUUUCCAAAGACAUAACUGUCUAUAUUGUAUGGAAUUUGCAGACUUAUAUGUUCUUUGUUUAAUAAUUUUAAUAUUAGUAAUUCAUGUUAAAUUUUUAUAUUAAAUUAUAUUUACUUGGUAACAGUUGCUUUUUAAAUUCAUUCUGUAAAAUAAAACACACUUGGGAAGAGAGGUGGGAGGGAAAGUGAGGGAGAAGUGGAAUUGCACGGAAGAUGGAAGGAGACCCUCAUCGUUAUACAGAAUACAUGUAUGAUGAUGUGAGGGAAAAAAAGAAGUGUGUCACAUUAGAUUGGGUAGAGAGAACUGAUGGGAGGGGAGGGGAGGGGAAGGAGGGAAAGGAAGGUCAGCAGAAUAAAAUAGACAUUAGUAUUGCUGUAUGUAUAUACAUGACUGCAUGACCAAUGUGAUUCUGCAACCUGUACACUCAGAAAAAUGUGAAAUU